rnacentral:misc_RNA from 2 species
CUGAGUGAGGGCCCUCUGGGUCCAACCUCCCACCCGUGUUUAACGAACCUUGUUGCUUCGGCGGGCCCGCCUCACGGCCGCCGGGGGGCAUCCGCCCCCGGGCCCGCGCCCGCCGAAGACACCUGUGAACUCUGUCUGAAGUUGCAGUCUGAGAAACUAUUUAAAUUAGUUA